UUUUUUGGGAGGUGAGAAUCUUCUAAAGACUUCUGGGAAGGUGUCCCAGGUGUGUUGGAUUCAACUCUCUACGCCUAACCGUAGCGAGUCGCCUAACAACUAAACUCACCUCCUCUUUCUCCAACCGGCGGGCCAGGAACCGACCUUAGCGGGCAUAGCUCUGACCCACCAGCUUUGCUCGUCACUCCCAUCUAGCACUCUCUGCGUGCGCUCUGUGACUGUCAUGACAACCCGGUUUCGCCACCCCAUCCACGCAUGCAGUCAGCUAGGGUCCGUAAGGCAACCGACCUAUCUGCAUGAUAAUGGGUGAGGAGGCGCGACCACGCUAUCAUCCCAUCCACCGUAAACUGGCAAAAAAUUACUAAACAGCCAGUGAGAAAACUAAACUUUCAUUCUCCCACCCCCUGUAGGAGUGGCCCAUUCAUCUAUACACUCACAACAUAAGAUAUAAACACAUGAAAAACAAAA
rnacentral:lncRNA from 1 species